AUCAGUUUUUUUUUUACCCGACCCAUAUCAAAUACCUGUUUUGUUUCUUAUCUUCCCUACUUUCUCUCUCUUUUAUCUUACAACAGAGACUCAAACCAUAAAUGCCGUCAACAUCAAUACCCCCAAAAUAUUGAAGACAACACCUUUCUAAUAUCAGAUCCAACAAUUAAUCUCAGGCUUCUUUUGGGUUGUAACAACCCCAAUCGGACUCGAGACAUGUCUAGGGCACGGGAUUGUGGUUGCAGGCUUCACAUUCGUCACAAUAGGGUUUGAAUUGACGAUGGAUUCUCUAACUCACAUAUUGUUGCUGUUGUUUGUGUUUUAACCACAUGGGUUAUGGAAUUGGGAUCAUUUUAUACAGUUGACAUGUGCACGGUUCAUUUUAUAGAUCCCAUGAAGAUGGCUCAGUAUCAUCACGUAAGCAGCCCUUAGAUCGUUAAACAAGAGUGACAUAGUUGUGAAGUACAUAAAGCUUGAAUGUAGCCCCCUCGGUGGAGCCUGUUGAAAAUGUAGGUAACGAAACCUGGUUCGGUUAAUGUGGAAAAGCAUAUGACCGUUGAACGGUACUCUCAUGUGAUGCAUAUUAGUUCCACCU